rnacentral:rRNA from 1 species
GACGAACGCUGGCGGCGUGCCUAAUACAUGCAAGUAGAACGCAGUUGCGAACGGGUGAGUAACGCGUAGGUAACUGCCUGGUAGCGGGGGAUAACUAUUGGAAACGAUAGCUAAUACCGCAUACUACCAGAUGGACCUGCGUGGUAUUAGCUAGUUGGUGGGGUAACGGCUCACCAAGGCAACGAUACAUAGCCGACCUGAGAGGGUGAACGGCCAAACUGGGACUGAGACACGGCCCAGACUCCUACGGGAGGCAGCAGUAGGGAAUCUUCGGCAAUGGGGGGAAGCCUGACCGAGCAACGCCGCGGGAGUGAAGAAGGUUUUCGGAUUGUAAAGCUCUGUUGUUAAGGAAGCGGUACUUGAACAGAAAGGGACGGCUAACUACGUGCCAGCAGCCGCGGUAAUAC